rnacentral:rRNA from 1 species
GUGGGGAAUAUUGGACAAUGGGGGGAACCCUGAUCCAGCCAUGCCGCGUGUGUGAAGAAGGUCUUCGGAUUGUAAAGCACUUUAAGUUGGGAGGAAGGGCAGUAAGUUAAUACCUUGCUGUUUUGACGUUACCGACAGAAUAAGCACCGGCUAACUUCGUGCCAGCAGCCGCGGUAAUACGAAGGGUGCAAGCGUUAAUCGGAAUUACUGGGCGUAAAGCGCGCGUAGGUGGUUUUGUAAGUUGGAGGUGAAAUCCCCGGGCUCAACCUGGGAACUGCCUCCAAAACUGCAUGACUAGAGUACGGUAGAGGGUAGUGGAAUUUCCUGUGUAGCGGUGAAAUGCGUAGAUAUAGGAAGGAACACCAGUGGCGAAGGCGACUACCUGGACUGAUACUGACACUGAGGUGCGAAAGCGUGGGGAGCAAACAGGAUUAGAUACCCCGGUAGUCC